UACGUAGGGUGCGAGCGUUGUCCGGAAUUAUUGGGCGUAAAGGGCUCGUAGGCGGUUUGUUGCGUCGGGAGUGAAACUUACAGCUUAACUGUGAGCGUGCUCCGAUACGGGCAGACUUGAGGUAUUCAGGGGAGAACGGAAUUCCUGGUGUAGCGGUGGAAUGCGUAGAGAUCCGGAAGAACACCGGUGGCGAAGGCGGCCUGCUGGGCAGUAGCUGACACUGAGGCGCGACAGCGUGGGGAGCAAACAGG
rnacentral:rRNA from 1 species